GGUGACGGCGGCAGCGUCACGUAGAAAGCCACUCAACGACCGUGUGGAUGCGAGUAUUGAAGACAUCGCAGCCGCCAAGCAUGAAUCGAUCAGCUUUGCACCAACCUUGGAUGGUCUGAUGGAGAUCGCUGCAGUCAAGCAGGAGAGGAUGUGGAGUUACUUUCUGAGGAAGAAUAGAAGCUUGGAUGGGGGGGGGGGGGCAUCGGGUUGUGGUGGAUUGUCUCCUUCGAGGUUCCAUGUGCCUGGUCACGAUCCACAGCCGAAUGAGAUUUACUCGCGCCGUGCCUCACAUCACCCACUCGUUGGACGCGCACUCAGGGCAGAUCCCGUGGCGCAGAUUGGCUGGCAAGGGCCGAAAAUAUGAAUCUCUGCUGGCAAGUGCGCCAUGUAACAUAUGCAACAUGGAAAAGAG
rnacentral:lncRNA from 1 species